rnacentral:rRNA from 1 species
CUUCCGCAAUGGACGAAAGUCUGACGGAGCAACGCCGCGUGAGUGAUGAAGGUUUUCGGAUCGCAAAACUCUGUUGUUAGGGAAGAACAAGUACCGGAGUAACUGCCGGUACCUUGACGGUACCUAACCAGAAAGCCACGGCUAACUACGUGCCAGCAGCCGCGGUAAUACGUAGGUGGCAAGCGUUGUCCGGAAUUAUUGGGCGUAAAGCGCGCGCAGGCGGUUCCUUAAGUCUGAUGUGAAAGCCCCCGGCUCAACCGGGGAGGGUCAUUGGAAACUGGGGAACUUGAGUGCAGAAGAGAAGAGUGGAAUUCCACGUGUAGCGGUGAAAUGCGUAGAGAUGUGGAGGAACACCAGUGGCGAAGGCGACUCUUUGGUCUGUAACUGACGCUGAGGCGCGAAAGCGUGGGGAGCAAACAGGAUUAGAUACCCUGGUAGUCCACGCCGUAAACGAUGAGUGCUAAGUGUUAGAGGGUUUCCGCCCUUUAGUGCUGCAGCAAACGCAUUAAGCACUCCGCCUGGGGAGUACGGCCGCAAGGCUGAAACUCAAAGGAAUUGACGGGGGCCCGCACAGGCGGUGGAGCAUGUGGUUUAAUUCGAAGCAACGCGAAGAACCUUACCAGGUCUUGACAUCUCCUGACAACCCUAGAGAUAGGGAGUUCCCCUUCGGGGGACAGGAUGACAGGUGGUGCAUGGUUGUCGUCAGCUUGUGUCGUGAGAUGUUGGGUUAAGUCCCGCAACGAGCGCAACCCUUGAUCUUAGUUGCCAGCAUUCAGUUGGGCACUCUAAGGUGACUGCCGGUGACAAACCGGAGGAAGGUGGGGAUGACGUCAAAUCAUCAUGCCCCUUAUGACCUGGGCUACACACGUGCUACAAUGGAUGGUACAAAGGGCUGCGAGACCGCGAGGUUAAGCGAAUCCCAUAAAACCAUUCUCAGUUCGGAUUGCAGGCUGCAACUCGCCUGCAUGAAGCCGGAAUCGCUAGUAAUUGCGGAUCGGCAUGCCGCGGUGAAUACGUUCCCGGGCCUU